AACUCAUUCAAAAAAAAUAAGAGAUAAUGUUUUCUGUUUUUCAGAUGAGAAAACUGAAUAGAAAAGGUUGAGUGACUAGAUGAAGGCCACACCCAAGUAGGAGCAGAACCAGCAUUUGGAAUGGGGCACUCUGGCUUUGGACUCUGCCUUUAACCUGUACUUAGUGCAAUUCUGUGUUUAAUUUGAAUGAACUGGAAAAUAACUUGCUGAGAGGGCUGUUGGCCUGCUGCUGUGCUGCUGAACAGUAUGCAGUCCUUCCGGGAGCAAAGCAGUUACCACGGAAACCAACAGAGCUACCCACAGGAGGUACACGGCUCAUCCCGGAUAGAAGAGUUCAGCCCUCGUCAGGCCCAGAUGUUCCAGAAUUUUGGGGGUGCCGGUGGUGGCAGUGGUGGCAGUGGAGGCAGCAGUGGUGGGGGACGACGAGGAACAGCAGCUGCUGCAGCAAUGGCUAGUGAGACCUCUGGCCAUCAAGGCUACCAGGGCUUCAGGAAAGAGGCUGGAGAUUUUUACUACAUGGCAGGCAACAAAGAUCCUGUGGCGACAGGAACCCCACAGCCUCCUCAGCGAAGGCCUUCUGGGCCAGUGCAGAGCUAUGGACCCCCCCAGGGGAGCAGCUUUGGCAAUCAGUAUGGGAGUGAAGGUCAUGUGGGCCAAUUUCAAGCACAGCACUCUGCCCUUGGUAGUGUGUCUCAUUAUCAGCAGGAUUACACAGGGCCUUUUUCUCCUGGGAGUGCUCAGUACCAACAGCAGGCUUCCAGCCAGCAGCAGCAGCAGCAGCAGCAGCAGGUACAGCAGCUGAGACAACAGCUUUACCAAUCCCAUCAACCGCUGCCACAGGCCACUGGCCAACCAGCCUCCAGCUCAUCCCACCUACAGCCAAUGCAGCGGCCCUCAACUCUACCAUCCUCUGCUGCUGGAUACCAGUUAAGAGUAGGUCAGUUUGGGCAACAUUACCAGUCUUCUGCUUCCUCCUCCUCCUCCUCCUCCUUCCCUUCACCACAGCGUUUCAGCCAGUCUGGGCAGAGCUAUGAUGGCAGCUACAGUGUGAAUGCUGGAUCUCAGUAUGAAGGGCACAACGUAGGUUCUAAUGCACAGGCUUAUGGAACACAAUCAAACUAUAACUAUCAGCCUCAAUCUAUGAAAAAUUUUGAACAGGCAAAGAUUCCACAAGGGGCCCAGCAGGGACAGCAGCAACCACAGCCACCACCGCAGCAGCAGCAGCAACAACCACAGCAGCAGCAACAGCAGCAGCAGCAGCAGCAACAGCAACAGCAACAGCAACAGCAACCACAGCAUCCACCUCAGCAUGUGAUGCAGUACACCAAUGCUGCCACCAAACUGCCCCUACAAAGCCAGGUGGGGCAGUACAACCAGCCUGAGGUUCCCGUGAGGUCCCCUAUGCAGUUCCACCAGAACUUCAGCCCCAUCUCCAACCCUUCUCCAGCUGCCUCUGUUGUCCAGUCUCCGAGCUGUAGCUCCACCCCUUCUCCGCUCAUGCAGAGUGGGGAGAAUCUCCAGUGUGGGCAAGGCAACGUGCCCAUGGGUUCCAGAAACCGAAUUUUACAGUUAAUGCCUCAGCUCAGUCCAACCCCGUCUAUGAUGCCCAGUCCUAAUUCUCAUGCUUCAGGCUUCAAAGGGUUUGGGAUAGAAGGGGUGCCAGAAAAGCGGCUGACGGAUCCCGGGUUGAGUAGUUUGAGUGCCCUGAGUACUCAGGUGGCUAAUCUUCCUAAUACUGUCCAACACAUGUUACUUUCUGAUGCCCUGACACCUCAGAAGAAGACCUCCAAGAGGCCCUCCUCAUCAUCUAAGAAAGCAGAUAGCUGCACAAACUCAGAAGGCUCCUCGCAGCCCGAGGAACAGCUGAAGUCCCCUAUGGCGGAGUCAUUGGAUGGAGGCUGCUCUAGCAGCUCCGAGGAUCAAGGUGAGAGAGUGAGGCAGCUGAGUGGCCAGAGCACCAGUUCCGAUACCACCUACAAGGGUGGAGCCUCAGAGAAAGCUGGCUCUUCACCAGCACAAAGUGCUCAGAAUGAACCCCCCAGACUCAGUGCCAGUCCUGCAGCUAGAGAAGAGGCCACCUCACCAGGAGCCAAGGACACAUCACUGUCAUCUGAGGGGAACCCAAAAGUCAAUGAGAAGACAGUUGGAGUAAUUGUCUCCAGGGAAGCCAUGACAGGUCGGGUAGAAAAGCCUGGUGGACAAGAUAAAGGCUCCCAAGAGGACGAACCUGCAGCCACUCAGAGGCCACCUAGCAACAGUGGGGCAAAGGAAGGCAGUCACACAUCACUUCCACAGCCAGAGCCUCCAGGAGGAGGGAACAAAGGAAACAAGAAUGGUGAUAAUAGCUCCAACCACAAUGGAGAGGGAAAUGGCCAGAGUGGCCACUCUGCAGUGGGUCCCAGUUUCACAGGCAGAACUGAGCCUAGCAAGUCUCCUGGAAGCCUGCGCUAUAGUUACAAAGACAGCUUUGGCUCAGCGGUGCCGCGAAAUGUCAGUGGCUUUCCCCAGUAUGCUACAGGGCAAGAAAAGGGGGAUUUCACUGGCCAUGGGGAACGAAAGGGUAGAAAUGAGAAGUUCCCAAGCCUCCUGCAGGAAGUGCUUCAGGGUUACCACCACCACCCGGACAGGAGGUAUUCCAGGAGUGCUCAGGAGCAUCAGGGGAUGGCUGGUGGCCUAGAAGGAACCACGAGGCCCAACGUCUUAGUCAGUCAGACCAAUGAAUUAGCUAGCAGGGGCCUUCUGAACAAAAGCAUUGGAUCCCUGUUAGAAAACCCCCACUGGGGCCCUUGGGAGAGGAAAUCAAGCAGCACUGCUCCUGAAAUGAAACAGAUCAAUUUGGCUGACUAUCCAAUUCCCAGAAAGUUUGAAAUAGAACCUCCAUCAUCAGCCCAUGAGCCCGGGGGCUCCCUCUCUGAAAGGAGGUCAGUGAUCUGUGAUAUUUCUCCACUAAGACAGAUUGUCAGGGAUCCGGGUGCUCACUCACUGGGACACAUGGGUGCUGACACCAGAAUUGGGAGGAAUGAACGUCUCAACCCAAGUUUAAGUCAGUCAGUCAUUCUUCCAGGUGGAUUGGUAUCCAUGGAAACAAAGCUAAAAUCCCAGAGUGGGCAGAUAAAAGAGGAAGACUUUGAACAAUCCAAAUCCCAAGCUAGUUUCAACAACAAGAAAUCUGGAGACCACUGCCAUCCCGCUAGCAUCAAGCAUGAGUCUUACCGCGGCAAUGCCAGCCCUGGAGCAGCGGCCCAUGAUUCCCUUUCAGACUAUGGCCCACAAGACAGCAGGCCCACACCAAUGCGGCGGGUCCCUGGCAGAGUUGGUAGUCGGGAGGCUAUGAGGGGUCGGUCCCCUUCUCAGUAUCAUGAUUUUGCAGAAAAAUUGAAAAUGUCUCCUGGAAGAAGCAGAGGCCCAGGGGGAGACCCUCAUCACAUGAACCCACACAUGACCUUUUCAGAGAGGGCCAACAGGAGUUUGCAUGCUCCCUUUUCUCCCAACUCAGAAAGCCUGGCCUCUGCUUAUCACACAAACACUCGGGCUCAUGCUUAUGGGGACCCUAACGCAGGUUUGAAUUCCCAGCUCCAUUAUAAGAGACAGAUGUACCAACAGCAGCAAGAGGAAUACAAAGACUGGAGCAGCAGUUCUGCUCAGGGAGUAAUUGCUGCGGCUCAGCACAGGCAAGAGGGGCCAAGGAAGAGCCCACGGCAACAGCAGUUUCUUGACCGAGUACGGAGUCCUCUGAAAAAUGACAAAGACGGUAUGAUGUAUGGGCCACCUGUAGGGACUUACCAUGACCCCAGUGGUCAGGAAGCGGGACGCUGCCUCAUGUCUAGUGACGGCCUGCCUAACAAAGGCAUGGAAUUGAAGCAUGGCUCCCAGAAAUUGCAACAAGAAUCUUGUUGGGAUCUUUCUCGGCAAACUUCUCCUGCUAAGAGCAGUGGUCCUCCAGGAAUGUCUAAUCAAAAAAGGUACGGGCCACCACAUGAGACUGAUGGACACGGACUAGCUGAAUCUACACAGUCAUCCAAACCUAGUAAUGUAAUGCUGAGGCUCCCGGGUCAGGAGGAUCAUUCGUCUCAAAACCCCUUAAUCAUGCGGAGGCGUGUGCGUUCUUUUAUCUCUCCCAUCCCCAGUAAGAGACAGUCACAAGAUCUAAAGAACACUAGUGCUGAUGAUAAAGGGCGCCUCCUUCACCCAUCAAAAGAAGGCACCGAUAAAGCCUUCAAUUCCUACGCCCACCUUUCUCACAGUCAGGACAUCAAGUCUAUCCCUAAGAGAGAUUCCUCCAAGGACCUCCCAAGCCCAGAUAAUAGAAACUGUCCUGCUGUUACCCUUACAAGCCCUGCUAAGACCAAAAUACUGCCCCCACGGAAAGGACGGGGACUGAAAUUGGAAGCUAUAGUUCAGAAGAUCACGUCCCCAAAUAUUAGGCGGAGUGCAUCUGCAAACAGUGCAGAGGCAGGAGGAGACACGGUCACGCUGGAUGACAUAUUGUCUCUGAAGAGUGGUCCUUCAGAGGGUGGUACUGUGGCUGCUCAAGAAGCUGAGAUGGAGAAGAGAAAAGGUGAGGUAGUGUCCGACCUAGUUGGUCCAACCAACCAGGAGUUAAAUGUUGAAAAGCCUCUUCCGAGGUCUUCAGAAGAGUGGCAUGGCAGUGGGGACGACAAAGUAAAGGCAGAAACACAUCCAGAAACAGUUCCCGCUGGAAAGGAACCCCCUGGUGCCAUGACAGCGGCAACCUCACAGAAGCCUGGCAGUAACCAAGGGAGACCAGAUGGUUCCCUGGGCGGAGCAGCACCUUUACUCUUUCCUGACUCAAAGAAUGUAGCUCCAGUGGGCAUAUUGGCCCCAGAGGCAAACCCCAAGGCAGAAGAGAAAGAGAAUGAGACGGUGACAAUUUCACCCAAACAAGAGAGUUUCCCCCCAAAGGGAUAUUUCCCAUCAGGAAAGAAGAAGGGGAGACCCAUAGGUAGUGUGAAUAAGCAAAAGAAACAGCAGCAGCCACCACCUCCACCACCCCAACCCCCUCAGAUACCAGAAGGUUCUGCAGAUGGAGAGCCAAAGCCAAAAAAGCAGAGGCAAAGGAGGGAGAGAAGGAAGCCUGGAGCCCAGCCAAGGAAGCGGAAAACCAAACAAGCAGUUCCCAUCGUAGAGCCCCAAGAACCUGAGAUCAAGCUCAAAUAUGCCACUCAGCCACUGGAUAAAACAGAUGCUAAGAACAAGUCUUUUUUCCCUUAUAUUCAUGUAGUAAAUAAGUGUGAACUUGGAGCCGUUUGUACAAUCAUCAAUGCUGAAGAAGAAGAACAGACCAAAUUGGUGAGGGGUCGGAAAAGUCAGAGGUCCCUAACCCCUCCCCCCAGCAGCACUGAAAGCAAGGUGCUCCCAGCUUCGUCCUUUAUGCUGCAGGGGCCUGUGGUGACAGAGUCUUCUGUUAUGGGGCACCUGGUUUGCUGUCUGUGUGGCAAGUGGGCCAGUUACCGGAACAUGGGUGACCUCUUUGGACCCUUUUAUCCCCAAGAUUAUGCAGCCACUCUCCCGAAGAAUCCACCUCCCAAGAGGGCCACAGAAAUGCAGAGCAAAGUCAAGGUACGGCACAAAAGUGCUUCCAAUGGCUCCAAAACAGACACUGAGGAGGAGGAGGAGCAGCAGCAGCAGAAGGAGCAGAGGAGCCUGGCUGCACACCCCAGGUUCAAGCGGCGCCACCGCUCAGAAGACUGUGGUGGAGGCCCUCGGUCCCUGUCCAGGGGGCUCCCUUGUAAAAAAGCAGCCACUGAGGGCAGCAGUGAAAAGACUGUUUUGGACACAAAGCCCUCUGUGCCCACCACUUCAGAAGGUGGCCCCGAGCUGGAGUUACAAAUCCCUGAACUACCUCUUGACAGCAACGAAUUUUGGGUCCAUGAGGGUUGUAUUCUCUGGGCCAAUGGAAUCUACCUGGUCUGUGGCAGGCUCUACGGCCUGCAGGAAGCGCUGGAAAUAGCCAGAGAGAUGAAAUGCUCCCACUGCCAGGAGGCCGGCGCCACCCUGGGCUGCUACAACAAAGGCUGCUCCUUCCGAUACCAUUACCCAUGUGCCAUCGACGCAGAUUGUUUGCUACAUGAGGAAAACUUCUCGGUGAGGUGCCCCAAGCACAAGCCUCCCCUUCCGUGCCCUCUCCCCCCCUUGCAGAACAAGACCGCGAAAGGCAGCCUCAGCACAGAGCAGUCGGAGCGGGGGUGAGGGGGGCAGUGUGCGCGUGGGAAUGGAGAGGACAGCAAGCACAGGGAGCAGGGUUGGCAAUGCAGGGAGCAGAGCAGAGCAGGAGAGGUGAUUGGUUCUUGGGUCACAGGAACCAAAUGAGCAAACGGAGCCCUGUGGACUGCAGUUAGACUGUGGAGAUGAACAGGUGGUGGACACUCGUGAUGGAAUGGAAAUCUCCUCCCGUGCUGCCACGCCCUGCCCUGCCCCGCCCCGCCGUGCCUGCCCUGCCAGCACUUCCUUCCCAAGUUCUCACCUCACACUCAAACCAGUGACACCACAGGAAAGAAAGGCCCAAGAUGUUGGAAUGGCUGUUUCCAUGGACACAAUCUCCAUAGUGACAAUGUGGGGGGAGGGGGGA